rnacentral:rRNA from 1 species
CCCAGACUCCUACGGGAGGCAGCAGUGGGGGAUAUUGCACAAUGGGGGGAACCCUGAUGCAGCGACGCCGCGUGGGUGAAGGAGCGUUUCGGCGCGUAAAGCCCUAUCGGCAGGGAAGAAGGAGGACGGUACCUGACUAAGAAGCCCCGGCUAACUACGUGCCAGCAGCCGCGGUAAUACGUAGGGGGCAAGCGUUAUCCGGAUUUACUGGGUGUAAAGGGGGCGCAGACGGCAGCGCAAGCCAGGAGGGAAAGCCCGGGGCCCAACCCCGGGACUGCUCUUGGAACUGCGCGGCUGGAGUGCAGGAGGGGCAGGCGGAAUUCCUGGUGUAGCGGUGAAAUGCGUAGAUAUCAGGAGGAACACCGGUGGCGAAGGCGGCCUGCUGGACUGCGACUGACGUUGAGGCCCGAAAGCGUGGGGAGCAAACAGGAUUAGAUACCCCAGUA